rnacentral:rRNA from 1 species
CAGUCGCCGCGGGAAUGCAGAGGGUGCGAGCGUUAAUCGGAUUUACUGGGCGUAAAGCGUGCGCAGGCGGUUAUAUAAGACAGAUGUGAAAUCCCCGGGCUCAACCUGGGAACUGCAUUUGUGACUGUAUAGCUAGAGUACGGCAGAGGGGGAUGGAAUUCCGCGUGUAGCAGUGAAAUGCGUAGAUAUGCGGAGGAACACCGAUGGCGAAGGCAAUCCCCUGGGCCUGUACUGACGCUCAUGCACGAAAGCGUGGGGAGCAAACAGGAUUAGAUACCCCCGUAGUCCCUGUCUCUUAUAC